rnacentral:tRNA from 1 species
AAUAGCUCAGUUGGUUAGAGCAUCUGACUGUUAAUCAGAGGGUCGCAGGUUCAAGUCCUGCUU